rnacentral:rRNA from 1 species
AACGUAGGUGGCAAGCGUUAUCCGGAUUUACUGGGCGUAAAGGGCGCGUAGGCGGCCCGCUAAGUCGAACGUGAAAUCCCCGAGCUCAACUCGGGAACUGCGUCCGAUACUGGCGGGCUUGAAUCCGGGAGAGGGAUGCGGAAUUCCAGGUGUAGCGGUGAAAUGCGUAGAUAUCUGGAGGAACACCGGUGGCGAAGGCGGCAUCCUGGACCGGCAUUGACGCUGAGGCGCGAAAGCGUGGGGAGCAAACAGG